GACAGAGGUGCCGAGCGUUAGGCGGAAUCACUGGGCUUAAAGCGUGUGUAGGCGGGUCCGUAAGUACCUUGUGAAAUCCCACGGCUCAACCGUGGAACUGCUCGGUAUACUGCGGGCCUUGAGCCAGCUAGGGGCAACCGGAACAAACGGUGGAGCGGUGAAAUGCGUAGAUAUCGGGAGGAACACCUGUGGCGAAAGCGGCUCACUGGACCACAACUGA
rnacentral:rRNA from 1 species